CUGCUACUCCCUCCGUUCGGAAUUACUUGUCGCAAAAAUGGAUGUAUCUACAACUAAAAUACAUCUAGAUACAUUCAUUUCUUGGACGAGUAAUUCCGAACGGAGGGAGUAGUUA
rnacentral:pre_miRNA from 1 species